AGAGUACUACAAGACCGGAAAACCAGGACUUGGCAGAGACAGAAUGGAAACCAUCCUGAAACGCCUGGAAGUGCCCAGUGAUUUUUUUUAAAACCUCGGCAGCUUGCUAACUAAACAGCUGUCAAAAAAAAAAAAAAAAAAAAAA
rnacentral:ribozyme from 1 species